UACGGAGGGGGCUAGCGUUGUUCGGAAUUACUGGGCGUAAAGCGCGCGUAGGCGGACCUGCAAGUCGGGGGUGAAAGCCCGAGGCUCAACCUCGGAACUGCCUUCGAUACUGCGGGUCUCGAGUCCGGGAGAGGUGAGUGGAAUUCCGUAGUGUAGAGGUGAAAUUCGUAGAUAUUAGGAAGAACACCAGUGGCGAAGGCGGCUCACUGGCCCGGUACUGACGCUGAGGCACGAAAGCGUGGGGAGCAAACAGG
rnacentral:rRNA from 1 species